rnacentral:lncRNA from 1 species
AAUAUUUUAAGUUACUGAUAUUUAAAGCAAAAAUAUGUUAAAAUAAUUACUUUUCAGUUUAGUUUGAUUUACCGGUCAAGUUUUUAUAUUUUAGACUAAAUCAUCUCUGUAGUGACAUCUACUGUCGAACUGCACAACCAGGGCACAAAUAUAAAAGCUUAGUGGUGGAUAAAUGAGUAGUACGUUGGAGUAAAAACACAGUAAUUGACCAAUACAGAAAAAAGCAAAAAGGAAGUUCCUUUAAUAACUCAUCAUAAAUACCAGACUUUAGAUUUGUGUACACCAGACGCACGAAACAGAAGACAACUGAGGUACGCUGAAAAUUCUUUAAGGUACCUAAGGAAAUCUACUAUUAUAACGAAAUUCUUUUUAUGAAUACCAAUUUCUUUUCUUUUUCAUUAUCAUUCUAUAACUGUAAUUGAAAAUAACACGUAGACAAUUUCGUGCGCUCUAUGUUUUUACUUAAUUUACCUUCCAUGGGAACGCCUUCACCCAAAACGUAUGGAAACAAUGGUGGAUUAAUACACAAAAAAGUUAUCAUACUAUAAUGAAAGGGGACAAAGAGUUGCUAAAUACAAUUUGUACCUAAGAGUUUGAGCUGUUAAGCUUCUUGAUUUCAACAUAGAGGGCUGUAACAUUACUUAUUUCUGUCGACGGAGUAAUCAAAACAUCCUAAAUAUCAAUACUUCUUACUAGCAGGUUGGUUUCAUGGUGAUGGAAGGCUUUCUUCAAAAACGGUUGUCGCUACUGAAAGGUUAUAAAGAACAGUGGUUUGUGUUGAAAGAUGAUGGAUAUCUCAAGUACUUUAGCG